rnacentral:tRNA from 1 species
GCGGAUGUGGCGUAACUGGCAGACGCACAAGAUUCAGGUUCUUGUACCGAAAGGUGUAUGGGUUCGAGUCCCAUCAUCCGUACCA